AUUGAACGCUGGCGGCAGGCCUAACACAUGCAAGUCGAACGAGUGGCGGACGGGUGAGUAAUGUCUGGGAAACUGCCCGAUGGAGGGGGAUAACUACUGGAAACGGUAGCUAAUACCGCAUACCAUCGGAUGUGCCCAGAUGGGAUUAGCUGGUAGGUGAGGUAACGGCUCACCUAGGCGACGAUCCCUAGCUGGUCUGAGAGGAUGACCAGCCACAGUGGAAUGGAGGCACGGUCCAGACGCCGACGGGAGGCAGCAGUGGUGAAUAGUGGACAAUGGGCGCAAGCCUUAUGCACCCAUGCCGCGUGGAUGAGGAAGGCCUUCGGGUUGUAAAGUACUUUCAGCGGGGAGGCGUUACCCGCAGAAGAAGCACCGGCUAACUCCGUGCCAGCAGCCGCGGUAAUAC
rnacentral:rRNA from 1 species